CCCUCCAGAAGUUGCCCGCCGGGAGCCCCGGAGUCCGCGGCGGGUUGAGGGCUCCUCCUCCAGGCCUCCGGGCCUUGAGGUCUGUCCCCAACGCCCCCUACUCUCCGCCUCCGCGCACUAUUCCGCCUCCACCCCCAAAUCUGGAAGCUACUGCCCGCGUCUUCUACGUGGUUCUUGAGACCUUGGAGGCAGUGUCCUGAAAAAAAGGUUAUUAAUUACUUUCCUGCAAAAAUGACAAGAGAACUCAUCUCCUAAGGAGCAUCUCAUUGAAUCUUCCCUCCCAGACUUGUCUCUCCCAGCAGAGGAUGAAAGUUCUCAAGAUUAUACCGGUAUUACAGAUAAACCAGUGAUUAUAGAGGUUAAGGUAUAUAUCUAGGGCCACAUGAUUAAAGGAUGCUGAAGCCAGAAUUUGAACCAGGUUAUCUGAUUCAAGAUAUUUGCAGAGAAAAAAUUAGAGUUUACCAGCAGCAAAAAAUAAUCCCUGAUGUAAGAAGGAAUGAUGAGCAAAGAAAUUGGUAAAUAAGUGGUUAAAACUAUU